rnacentral:rRNA from 1 species
CCCUUAGAUGUUCUGGGCAGCACGCGCGCUACAAUGGUCUUCGCAAACGGAUGCAUUCUCGAAGGAGAAUGCCAAUCUUGGAAUCUAUGCCUUGGUCGGGACAGUUGCUUGCAAUUUUUCGACUCGAACCAGGAAUUCCUUGUAAUCGUGAUUCAUCACAUCACGAUGAAUACGUCCCUGCCCUUUGUACACACCGCGCGUCGCUCCUACCGAUCGAAGAGUUAGGUGAAUUGUUUUGAUCGAUAAGAUUUGACUAUGGUCAACUCUCGUUGUGAAAUUCUGUGAAUCUGACUGUUUAGAGGAAGGAAAAGUCGUAACA